rnacentral:rRNA from 1 species
UACGGAGGGGCUAGCGUUGUUCGGAAUUACUGGGCGUAAAGCGCACGGUAGGCGCUUUGUAAGUUAGAGGUGAAAGCCCGGGGCUCAACUCCGGAAUUGCCUUUAAGACUGCAUCGCUAGAAUUGUGGAGAGGUAAGUGGAAUUCCGAGUGUAGAGGUGAAAUUCGUAGAUAUUCGGAAGAACACCAGGUGGCGAAGGCGACUUACUGGACACAGUAUUGACGCUGAGGUGCGAAAGCGAUGGG